rnacentral:lncRNA from 1 species
GACAGCAUGGAAGGACCACCUCGCCCCUCCCGGGCUGCCCACAUUACUCGCUCCAGCUCCCGUCUCUCAUCCAAGGCCCUUUCCACUUGGGCCUGCAGGUACUCCAGGGACUCCGGAAGAGGUUCCGGAGUCAACAUUGUCGACGCUGCUUCGUUCCUGUACGAGACCACUUUGAAGACGAAAGCCGUCAUCACCCUGCCGCCUGGAUACAUGUCCAUUUAUUACCACAAACAUACUUAUCAGCAGACAUGCAUACGUAUAUAACACAAAAAGGGUGGCAAAUAAUAAACAUGCAUAUCUCCAAAACCCCGAAGCAAAACAUACACACACAAAAAAAAACACACAUACACACAAACACACUAAAAAAGUGAAAAGAAAGAGAUCUACUUACUGUCGGACAUGUGGCAAUCCGUCACUGUCGCCACGAGCUUAAGGCCCCAGAAGCCCAGCAGCUCCAUCUCGGCCAAGGGAUUGGGCAUGCUGUACUGCACCACGGUUAUGGCCUGGUGUUGUGUAUAAUAAAUAUUUCGUGCGUGGGUGUGGGCGGAUGAUUGGUUUUGGUGGGUGAUGGGGUGUGGCAUAUAAUAUAAUAAUAAGAUAUGUUAUCAUAUUUCUUCCCACUUUGUAAAAUAAAAUUAAAAAACACGGAAGGUCUUCCCUGCUGUGCAUGCUCUGCCGUUGUCGACUACACAGCUACUACUGUCAUUAUUGUUAUCAUCAUUAUUAUUUAAUUCUACUACUCGUGCCACGAUAGCUACAAUAAACACCCCCCUCCCCCCCCGCUGCUUUUCUUAUCUUUUCCUGCCGUCUGUCACCCUUAUUACUAUUAAUAAUAAUAUUUUUUAAUAUUAUCAUCGUCACAUUUAUUAUUAUUAUUAUUAUUAUUAUUUAUUAAUUUUUUUAUUGUAUCUCAUCCCUGUUAUAUAAUUUUACGAUACAUACAAGCGUGUGUACAGUACAUGUUUUCAUGUCAACAUAAUNNNNNNNNNNNNNNNNNNNNNNNNNNNNNNNNNNNNNNNNNNNNNNNNNNUCACCUCGAGGGCGCGCUUCACCUCCAGCUCUGCCGCCUCUCCCAUGGUGCUCAACUCGAUGGUCUCCAGCUGCUUGCAGGACAGCAUGGAAGGACCACCUCGCCCCUCCCGGGCUGCCCACAUUACUCGCUCCAGCUCCCGUCUCUCAUCCAAGGCCCUUUCCACUUGGGCCUGCAGGUACUCCAGGGACUCCGGAAGAGGUUCCGGAGUCAACAUUGUCGACGCUGCUUCGUUCCUGUACGAGACCACUUUGAAGACGAAAGCCGUCAUCACCCUGCCGCCUGGAUACAUGUCCAUUUAUUACCACAAACAUACUUAUCAGCAGACAUGCAUACGUAUAUAACACAAAAGGGGUGGCAAAUAAUAAACAUGCAUAUCUCCAAAAAACCCCGAAGCAAAACAUACACACACAAAAAAAAAAACACACACACAAACACACUAAAAAAGUGAAAAGAAAGAGAUCUAC